UACAUGUGGGAAAAAUAUAUACACAUCAGUCACCAAAACUAGAUAAGAUUGAUGGAGCUAAGAAGUGCAUUGUGCCAGGGACUGUAUAGAGAUCUUUCCUGUGAGACACAGCUAGAGCAUAUCAAAUAAAGAAGUGAAUUCUAGAGGCAAAUCAGUGAAUUGAAAACGGACAGUAGGGGAGUUAUAGAAAAAGAGGAGUGGGGCCGGUUAGGGAUCAUAUGUGCAGGUAAUAGGGAAAGGAAAUAACAUUUCAAAUGUAAAUAUAGAAAUACCCAAUUAAAACAGGAAUAAAAUUUGCUAAAAAAAUAAAAAGAAAUAAAGAAAUUUAAGAAAAGAACACUGCGAAGUAUUCACAGCUAUUGACUCAGAAAUGUAAAAGUCAUUUUCAUGGAAUGAUAGUCAGAGUAAUACUAAUGGAAAGACUGAGAUGAUGAAGACUCAACUAGAAACACUUCUCUCUCCCAGAUAUCAGUAUCAGACAAAAACUGCACUAUAGGCAUCCAGAGCAUGGUGGAAUUUACUCUGAGGCGAGGACUCAAUACUUGUCUUUCCAUUCUUCCUUAGGACCAUUUUCUUCUUGACAAAAAGAAUAAGGCUAUGAGAUCUCAGCAAAACAACUGUGCCCUGCCCAUCACUUGGCUUUGGAAUAAAAAAAAAUAAUGAUAUAAACUCUUUGACUUCCAGGAAUGAUAUGAACAGGAACUGUAAGAGCAGGAAGUCCAGAUGCUUCUGAGAGGACCCCAGCUCCUAAUUCCCAUUUGUAGACGGCUCAGAUCAAGACAAUCUCUUCAUGAAACAACUCAACACCUACUAAGGACUCAGAGAGCUUUCCCAAGGACCUUUUUUGUACCAAGACAGAAGGAAUAAAGAAAAGGCCUGUUCACUGCACAAUCUCAUGAUAUCACGGAACAAUUCUUCCAACACUACAAAGUGAAAUCUUAUAUUGACUCCUGUACCUGAAGCCACAGUUUCUUUCCUUCUAUUUAGUUGUGCUCAUUGUCACCACCAUUUCAUUAUAACCAGGUUUAACCCAAAGGUAUUCUCUGCCCCAAGAAUUCAUUUCUACUAUAUUGACAUAUUCAGUCAUGUUCAGUUAAAUUUAAGCACUGACCACACCAAAGUGAGGAUUUAUAUAAUAUCCAACAGAAACAUAGGAAGAAAUGCUACAAAAAUAAAUUUAUACUGAAUAAAUAAUCAAAAUGUGUUUUAUUUGUUGUAACACAACAUCUAUCCAUUUUCAUUGUAUUGAUUGGUUCUGGGUAUAUUCACAAGCCAAGAAAAUUGUAUUUAAGCCCGGAAAAAAACUUUGAGAUUUAGUUCUCUCUUUUAUAUAGACUAUGAAGACUAAACUUAGAUAUCAAUGCUUAAUAGAAAGCAAUUUUACAUGUUGUGUCAUUUCACUGUUUCUCAGAUUUUUUUGUAUAAUUGAAAGUGUAUAGCUAAAUCUUGUAAUUUAAUAUUUUUCCCACUUCAUUUCAAUUUCUACUUUAACUCUGAGUAAUAAGUCCAAAUGGGAUCUGAUUACAUAUAUUGGCCCCGUACGAUUUUUUUAAAAAUUAUAAGGUAAAGUUUUAUAUGCUAGAAAGUACACUUUUGAGAGUACAUUACACUGGAAAUUUAGUUCAUCCUUUUUCAUUAGUUUUGUCUGAAAGACUAUUAUUUACAAAUUUGUUUUAAAUUUUUAGAAGUAUUGUGUGUGUUUGUUUGUUUGUCUGUGAGUAUGCCUGUUUGAGUAUACAUACAUACAUACAUGUAUAUCUUUGACAAUUCAAAUAUAAUAAGACCAGAGAAAGUAGCUUGAGUGUUAUUGAUAAUUUAUGGACACUGAAUUUUUGUAUAUGCUGUAUAUGUAACCUUGAAAAUAUGUACUGUAUAUUUUUUCAAAAGCAUUGUUUAAAUAUGUAUACUACAUGAAGCACACUAAUUGCAGUUUUAGCCUUUUCCACACUAAUUUUAUCUCUUUAGAUGUCUAGAAAGAAAUACACAGAAGCAUGAAUCAUCUCUUAACUCCAAAUGUAGGUAGACUCUAUGAUAUAUUUUGCUUUUUUACAUGAUUGCUCAACUUUAGUUCAUAAAUUAUAUAUUUAAUUUGCUCUAUUUAUGUUACAAAG